rnacentral:rRNA from 1 species
GGGAUUAGCUAGUUGGUGAGGUAAAGGCUCACCAAGGCAACGAUCCGUAGCUGGUCUGAGAGGAUGAUCAGCCACAUCGGGACUGAGACACGGCCCGAACUCCUACGGGAGGCAGCAGUGGGGAAUAUUGGACAAUGGGGGCAACCCUGAUCCAGCCAUGCCGCGUGUGUGAAGAAGGCCCUCGGGUUGUAAAGCACUUUCAGCGAGGAAGAACGCCUAGCGGUUAAUACCCGCUAGGAAAGACAUCACUCGCAGAAGAAGCACCGGCUAACUCCGUGCCAGCAGCCGCGGUAAUACGGAGGGUGCAAGCGUUAAUCGGAAUUACUGGGCGUAAAGCGCGCGUAGGUGGCUUGAUAAGCCGGUUGUGAAAGCCCCGGGCUCAACCUGGGAACGGCAUCCGGAACUGUCAAGCUAGAGUGCAGGAGAGGAAGGUAGAAUUCCCGGUGUAGCGGUGAAAUGCGUAGAGAUCGGGAGGAAUACCAGUGGCGAAGGCGGCCUUG